rnacentral:rRNA from 1 species
CUAGCAUAUCAAUAAGCGGAGGAAAAGAAACCAACCGGGAUUGCCCUAGUAACGGCGAGUGAAGCGGCAAGAGCUCAAAUUUGAAAGCUGGCUCCUUCGGGGUCCGCAUUGUAAUUUGCAGAGGAUGCUUCGGGAGCGGUCCCCAUCUAAGUGCCCUGGAACGGGCCGUCAUAGAGGGUGAGAAUCCCGUAUGGGAUGGGGUGCCCGCGCCCGUGUGAAGCUCCUUCGACGAGUCGAGUUGUUUGGGAAUGCAGCUCUAAUUGGGUGGUAAAUUUCAUCUAAAGCUAAAUAUUGGCCGGAGACCGAUAGCGCACAAGUAGAGUGAUCGAAAGAUGAAAAGCACUUUGAAAAGAGAGUUAAACAGCACGUGAAAUUGUUGAAAGGGAAGCGCUUGCGAUCAGACUCGCUCGCGGGGUUCAGCCGGCCUUCGGGCCGGUGUACUUCCCCGCGGGCGGGCCAGCGUCGGUUUGGGCGGCCGGUCAAAGGCCCCUGGAAUGUAACGCCUCUCGGGGCGUCUUAUAGCCAGGGGUGCCAUGCGGCCUGCCCGGACCGAGGAACGCGCUUCGGCUCGGACGCUGGCAUAAUGGUCGUAAGCGACCCGUCUUGAAACACGGACCAAGGAGUCUAACAUCUACGCGAGUGUUCGGGUGUCAAACCCGUGCGCGCAGUGAAAGCGAACGGAGGUGGGAACCCCUCGGGGUGCACCAUCGACCGAUCCUGAUGUCUUCGGAUGGAUUUGAGUAAGAGCGUAGCUGUUGGGACCCGAAAGAUGGUGAACUAUGCCUGAAUAGGGCGAAGCCAGAGGAAACUCUGGUGGAGGCUCGCAGCGGUUCUGACGUGCAAAUCGAUCGUCAAAUUUGGGUAUAGGGGCGAAAGACUAAUCGAACCAUCUAGUAGCUGGUCUGC